AGAGUUUGAUCCUGGCUCAGGACGAACGCUGGCGGCGUGCUUAACACAUGCAAGUCGAACGAACGGAGGAGAGCUUGCUCUCCAAUGUUAGUGGCGGACGGGUGCGUAACACGUGAGCAACUUGUCCUUCGGUGGGGGAUAGCCGGCCCAACGGCCGGGUAAUACCGCGUAUUACAUCGUUAUCGCAUGGUGAUGAUGUGAAAGUGGCCGCAAGGUCGCGCCGGAGGAGGGGCUCGCGGCGUAUCAGCUUGUUGGUGGGGUAACGGCCUACCAAGGCGACGACGCGUAGCUGGUCUGAGAGGAUGAUCAGCCACAUUGGGACUGAGAUACGGCCCAGACUCCUACGGGAGGCAGCAGUGGGGAAUAUUGCGCAAUGGCCGAAAGGCUGACGCAGCGACGCCGUGUGUGGGAUGAAGGCUUUCGGGUUGUAAACCACUGUCAGGAGGGACGAAUACUCGGCUUCGAAUAGUUGACCGAGGGUGACGGUACCUCCAAAGGAAGCACCGGCUAACUCCGUGCCAGCAGCCGCGGUAAUACGGAGGGUGCGAGCGUUGUCCGGAUUCACUGGGCGUAAAGCGCGCGUAGGCGGCUUUGUAAGUCAUCUGUGAAAUCCCGGGGCUCAACUCCGGGGCUGCAGGUGAUACUGCAG
rnacentral:rRNA from 1 species